GUCCUGCUUCUCCACACAUCGGUGGUGCCCGACAAAUAUGAAUCAUUUGCUGAUUCGUUUGGCUCUGUUGGCCCCGGGCAAGCACGUGGUGAAGGCGGUCGGUCUGCAGACGCUGAAGCGCUUACAAAGGAACCGUGCCCGGCUUACCCGGCAGGUGGCACAGAGCGGGUGCUAAGCCCGUGGGCGCUCUUACUGGAGACAAACGUACAUUGUGAAAGUGUUCCCUCCCCUUGUCCCCUUCGGGCCCACAGCCGCCACGCCACUGCAGCCUGGAGACCGUACCUUCGGGAAAACUCCAUCGCCCACAACUUCCAUUUCUGGCGGAGUGGGAGGUGUACCCACACAAACUCCCCGUUCCCUCGCCUUGUCUCCCGCCUGCAUCAGCCCCAGCAUAUUGUGUGGCUUCUUCCCCUGAUGGGCUUUCCUUGGCCUGGAAGAUACCGGAGACAGACAAAACAGGUCCUGGGAGACUUGGGGAGGGGUGUGCGCGGGGAGAACGCUGUCUUCCUGAGUAAAUGAAGCAUGGAAGUUCAUUAGGACCAUAGAGAAGUGUUAACAGAGGAAACCCGGCCCUGGGAGCUCCGGUGGAUUGUAACAGAAACGAUGUCAGGGAAGCCAGUGAUCCAGGGGCAGUGUGCAAGUGCAGCUGUGACAGGCGACCUGAAGGACAAUGCAGAGCUUGGCGAGCCCGCAAUGUGUGCGAUUCACUGGGAAAGAGACAUGUCUCGGAUCCGAGGACAAGGACCACUCGUACGAAGGAAGAGGUGAGCCAGAUGCUGCGGGAGGCUCCAUGCGGGAUUGAGAAUGACGUCAACACAAAGGCAGGAAAACCAGGAAGCUGUGGAGUUGACGCUGUUUGAGCCUUGCA